rnacentral:rRNA from 1 species
UACGAAGGGGGCUAGCGUUGCUCGGAAUCACUGGGCGUAAAGCGCACGUAGGCGGGUCGUUAAGUCGGGGGUGAAAUCCUGGAGCUCAACUCCAGAACUGCCUUCGAUACUGGCGAUCUUGAGUCUGGGAGAGGUGAGUGGAACUCCGAGUGUAGAGGUGAAAUUCGUAGAUAUUCGGAAGAACACCAGUGGCGAAGGCGGCUCACUGGUCCGGUACUGACGCUGAGGUGCGAAAGCGUGGGGAGCAAACAGG